ACACAUGCAAGUCGAGGGGCAGCGCGGGAUAGCAAUAUUCUGGCGGCGACCGGCGGAAGGGUGCGUAACGCGUGAGCGACAUGCCCGUUGCCCGGGGACAACCGGUGGAAACGCCGACUAAUCCCCGAUGGGAUACGAUGCUGCAUGGCAUUGUAUUGAAAGUUACGGCGGCGACGGAUUGGCUCGCGUCCGAUUAGCUGGUUGGCGGGGUAACGGCCCACCAAGGCUGCGAUCGGUAGGGGUUCUGAGAGGAAGGCCCCCCACAAUGGGACUGAGACACGGCCCAUACUCCUACGGGAGGCAGCAGUGAGGAAUAUUGGUCAAUGGGCGGAAGCCUGAACCAGCCAUGCCGCGUGCGGGAAGGAGGCCCUAUGGGCUGUGAACCGCUUUUGCCUGGGGGCAAUAAGGGCGUCGCGCACGCCCGAUGAGAGUACCAGGCGAAUAAGCAUCGGCUAACUCCGUGCCAGCAGCCGCGGUAAUACGGGGGAUGCGAGCGUUAUCCGGAUUCAUUGGGUUUAAAGGGUGCGUAGGCUGUGCGUCAAGUCGGGGGUGAAAUUCCGGUGCUCAACACCGGGGCUGCCCUUGAUACUGUCGCGCUGGAGUGCGGAUGCCGCCGGAGGAAUGAAUGGUGUAGCGGUGAAAUGCUUAGAUAUCACUCAGAACACCGAUUGCGAAGGCAUCUGGCGAAUCCGUAACUGACGCUGAGGCACGAAAGCGUGGGGAUAGAACAGGAUUAGAUACCCUGGUAUUCCACGCCGUAAACGAUGAUGGCUAACCGCCGGCGACACACUGUCGGUGGCCAAGCGAAAGCGAUAAGCCAUCCACCUGGGGAGUACGUCGGCAACGAUGAAACUCAAAGGAAUUGACGGGGGCCCGCACAAGCGGAGGAA
rnacentral:rRNA from 1 species